rnacentral:rRNA from 1 species
UUUAUGGAGAGUUUGAUCCUGGCUCAGGAUGAACGCUGGCGGCGUGCCUAAUACAUGCAAGUCGAGCGAACGGACGAGAAGCUUGCUUCUCUGAUGUUAGCGGCGGACGGGUGAGUAACACGUGGAUAACCUACCUAUAAGACUGGGAUAACUUUGGGAAACCGGAGCUAAUACCGGAUAAUAUUUUGAACCGCAUGGUUCAAAAGUGAAAGACGGUCUU